rnacentral:lncRNA from 1 species
GAAAUUACGUGUCACACGUGUCCAAACUGCGCUCACAAGAUUCAAGCUACAAGCAGAGUCUAGCUGCACCAAACGCAACGCAAAAACAACAGACACAUUUAAAUACCAGGCAUUUCACACCCAAAAAAUGCCAUCAGGCACCUCCUAAAACAACGGCUUCCGGAAUGUCUGCAAGUGUGAGGAGGGCUGGAAAGGUCAGAUUCAGAUCACCCCGAAGCAGGACAACUCCAACUGCUAAUUUCUGGCUUACGAGACACGGGCACAAAGCCGCCUCUUAUGCGCAUAAGAGUGGCUGGGAUUCCUCACCGCGCGCAGGAAUGUGAGCAUCUGGUCUUCAGAAGUGUCUGUGCACACAUGGAGCCAUUAGUUCCACUUCUGGCUGGACCUGGACCUAAUCCUGCCUCUCUCUACAGUCUUCAGGGGCCCGUGGGGGCCACCCAAGAGACCCAUAACCACAGCAGCAACAAAUACCUCAGUCCUUACGUACAACUGCACAAGUCCAGGUGAUUCUGUCCCUGAAAACUCACUUCAAAGCUUUGUGUGUCACUGCUGCAGCACCUCGACUGACCUCCAGGCAAGCUGGACAGAUAGCCAGACAGAGGGGGGAAAGACAGGAAUGACUUGUGACAGUGAGGAAAAAUUCCAGAGGUGUUAGAAGAGGAACAGGAGGUAAGUUGGUGUCUGGGAUUUAAUGACCUUACAGCAAACACUUCAUCCAUCAGUUCCAUCAUGGACAAAACUGGUAAAUUACACACAACUAAACAGCUACAAAUAAAGGAGCUGCGCUUUAUAAUGCACUUAA